GCUCUUUGGAAAUCUUAUGCGGCUCUGAAUGUCAGAUGCUUUUGCAGUUUUACUUUUGACAUAUCUAUGCUUCACCAGCAGAACAAGAAGAUUUUUUUCUUCUGGUUCUAAAUAAGUACAAAAAAUAAUUGCAUUACAAAUGUUUCACCAUCCAGACUGAAAAGAAGCAUCUAAGCUAAAGCAAAUAAUAUCUCUGCGAUGGGCAACAAGCCAAAGAUCAAACAGUUCAUGUGGAUCAUUUAUGUCAUCACCGUCAUCUUUCUAAUAUAUUACACCUACAGCACAGGACUAUUCUACCAUCGGAUGCUUUGGAAGUACAAUGGAACAGUCCCAACAAUUCUAGAUGAGCCACAUAUGACUCACAACAGUAGUCCAGAACAUGCUGGUUCCCAGGGACCAUACACUCAGAGACCAUACGCAUUUCUUGCAGCAGUUAAAGGGACAAAGACCGUUCUGAUAUCAGCUUAUCUGGAACAUCGCACA